GCAGUCUAAGUGACAAGAAGAAAAUGCGGUUUCAACUAUUUUUCCUAUUCAUUUUCCUGAUCGGGGCCUUCGCAAUGCCGAUGCCGGCCGACGAUGAGGCUAGGAAUGCUCAGACACCUGACAUUGAUAUCACAAAGAUGACUCUUAAACCAUUAGCUCGUAGCGCCGAAGAUUUAAGUAAAGCGGCUAAAGAUUCCGUAAAGAAGGGAGUAAGGAAAUACAGAUUUAUU